UACGUAGGGAGCUAGCGUUAUUCGGAAUUACUGGGCGUAAAGCGCACGUAGGCGGCUUUGUAAGUAAGAGGUGAAAGCCCAGAGCUCAACUCUGGAAUUGCCUUUUAGACUGCAUCGCUUGAAUCAUGGAGAGGUCAGUGGAAUUCCGAGUGUAGAGGUGAAAUUCGUAGAUAUUCGGAAGAACACCAGUGGCGAAGGCGGCUGACUGGACAUGUAUUGACGCUGAGGUGCGAAAGCGUGGGGAGCGAACAGG
rnacentral:rRNA from 1 species